rnacentral:rRNA from 1 species
AUACGAAAGGUGCAAGCGUUGUUCGGAUUUACUGGGCGUAAAGAGAUCGUAGGUGGUUUAUUAAGUCGGAUGUGAAAUCCUGGGGCUCAACCCCGGAACUGCAUUCGAUACUGGUAGACUAGAGUUUGGGAGGGGUAAGCGGAAUUCCGUGUGUAGCAGUGAAAUGCGUAGAUAUACGGAGGAACACCUGAGGCGAAGGCGGCUUACUGGACCAAUACUGACACUGAGGAUCGAAAGCGUGGGUAGCAAACAGGAUUAGAUACCCUAGUAGUCC